CCGGGGCUCCAGAGAUGCGCUCACAGAAAAGAAGACAACAAAGCAGUCCGCCGUCUUCACAACUCUGAGACAAACUGUAGCAGACGCUACGAACCGGAGCAAGGACUAACCUCGCCUCAUAACGAGGCCGUGACCUAUAUUUGC